GAUGAACGCUGGCGGCGUGCCUAAUACAUGCAAGUCGAGCGAACGGACGAGAAGCUUGCUUUUCUGAUGUUAGCGGCGGACGGAUGAGUAACACGUGGAUAACCUACCUAUAAGACUGGGAUAACUUCGGGAAACCGGAGCUAAUACCGGAUAAUAUUUUGAACCGCAUGGUUCAAAAGUGAAAGACGGUCUUGCUGUCACUUAUAGAUGGAUCCGCGCUGCAUUAGCUAGUUGGUAAGGUAACGGCUUACCAAGGCAACGAUGCAUAGCCGACCUGAGAGGGUGAUCGGCCACACUGGAACUGAGACACGGUCCAGACUCCUACGGGAGGCAGCAGUAGGGAAUCUUCCGCAAUGGGCGAAAGCCUGACGGAGCAACGCCGCGUGAGUGAUGAAGGUCUUCGGAUCGUAAAACUCUGUUAUUAGGGAAGAACAUAUGUGUAAGUAACUGUGCACAUCUUGACGGUACCUAAUCAGAAAGCCACGGCUAACUACGUG
rnacentral:rRNA from 1 species